AUCAUUGUCGUCUCCUUCUGUACAUAUAUUUUGUGGCUCGUCUUUUGUACUUGAGACAUGUCCUUUGCAGUUGCGUAUAUUUUUGUAUGUUGGUCCACUUUUGGGACUUGUACUCUUAGUAUGGCUCUGUACUUGUGACUUCCAGGUUGUGGGAGGGAUUCAGUUCUUAUGUAUGUAUUCUUUUGGCUUGCCUUAUU